CUUGAAACCAAUAUAUGAGGGUUCGAUUCCUUCCUUUCUUG
rnacentral:tRNA from 1 species